rnacentral:lncRNA from 1 species
AUGGUCACAGCAGUAGUGGAACCUACCAUGACAGCUGGGAAUCAAGGAGUAGCUACCCUGACCGGGAUCGCUAUGACAGUCGAGAACAAGCAAGGGAUUCCUCUUUUGAAAGAAGACAUGGUGAACGGGACAGGCGUGACAAUAGAGAAAGAGAUCAGAGAGCAAGCUCACCGGUACGGCAUCAAGGACGAAGUGAUGACCUUGAGCGGGAUGAUAGAAGAGAAGAGCGAAGGGGAGAUCGGUCUGAUGACAGGAGGGAGGAAAGGGCCCGGGAGAGGGAGCGAGAAAGGGAGCGGGACCGAGAGAGGGAAAGGGAGAGAGAUCGGGAAAGAGAAAGGGAGAAGGAAAGAGAGUUGGAGCGAGAUCGUGCUCGGGAACGAGAGAGGGAAAGAGAGCGGGACAAAGACAGGGACCGUGAGCGGGACCGAGACAGGGACCAUGACAGGGAAAGGGACCGAGAGAGGGAGAGGGAGAAGGAACGAGAGCGAGAGCGGGAGGAACGAGAAAGGGAGCGGGAGCGAGAAAGAGAUCGUGAGCGGGAACGAGAAAGGGACAGAGGUCGAGACAGGGAUAAAGAAAGAGACCGCCAGAGAGACUGGGACGACAAAGAAAAAGGAAGGGAAGACCGCAGGGAUAAGAGAGAAGAUAUCCGAGAAGAAAGAAGCUCAAGAGAUGUCCAUGAAGAGAGAAAAUCCAAGUGAGUAGAUCUGAAUGUUACUUCGGUCUAAGAAGGAAAAAAGAAGGCAGUCUUUUACUGCUGAUUUCAGUAUGUUAGUAAGCAAGGGAGUAUCAUAAGGGAGAAGAUAGCCUGCUUAUGCAGGGGCCUAGUCUGGCACCAUUUCUGCCCUGCAUCUGUGUGGCACACGCUGGUGACCGCAAAGUCAGUACUAUGGUGAUGAAAUUAAUCCAAUGCUUUGUUAGUGUAGAGUUGUGGAACCACCCAGGAGCUAGCAAUUGAGUCAGACAAUGUCAUUUUCCUCUCUAAGUAUACUUGCAUGGCCUUGCCUUUAAUAAAUGCAGGCAUUCUUGGAAACAUAAUAGCAGUCUGUGGUACCUUUUGAAGCCUGGAAAGUCAGACAGCAGCUAACAAGGUCAGAGUUCAUGACUUCAUUUGUUAAAUUUCUGUGGAACAUGCAUUACCCUUUGCACUACUAAAUGUUCAAUACCAGAAGGCCACAAGUGAAGGCGUGAACGGUGUCCUGAGUGAAUGUGUGGUGCCUCCUUUAAGUGCAUAGCACUGAUGCA